CAGCCGUAAACUAUGCGCGUUAGGUGUAUCGGUGACCACGAGUUACCGAGGUGCCGAAGGGAAACCGUGAAACGUGCCGCCUGGGGAGGUACGGUCGCAAGGCUGAAACUUAAAGGAAUUGGCGGGGGGAGGCACCACAACAGGUGGAGCCUGCGGUUUAAUUUGGACUCAACGCCGGGAAGCUCACCGGAUAGGACAGCAGAAUGAUUGCCGGGCUGAAGACCCUGCAUGACUAGCUGAGAGGAGGUGCAUGGCGUAGACGUCU
rnacentral:rRNA from 1 species